UAGAAUCACUGCACUUAGCCUCUAUUUUAAUGUUUGGAACCUUGCCACUACUAAAGUCAUUUAAUGAAAUCACAAUUUAUGAUCACAAUAUAUAUCUAUAUAUAUUUAUUUAUUUAUUUAUAUAUAUUGUAUAAAAAAAAGUCAUUUUAGUUGUUUUAUAUUUUCUUAAGGUCUGGUAUUUUGUUUCGUCUUCACCACCAUUGUCAGUGUUUCUAUUUUAAUUUUUUAAUUUUUGUUUGUUUGUUAUUUAUUUAUAAUAUGUUUAUUAUUAUAAUAAUAAUUUUUAUUAUUAUUACUGAUUUGGCUCUCUUUGUAAUUUGUAUGAUUAAUACAAUAGCACAUGAAUAGAUGAUCAAUUCCGAUUCAUUUGUUUAAUUGAUAAUUUGAUAUGCAUUUCAAUUAUAUUAAUUGAAAUUAAUUUUUUUAGAUUUUUUUUUUACUAAUUUUUUUAUUUAGAUUAAUCUUCGUUAGAUUCUAAAGGUAUUUGGUUGUUUAAUUAUUUUAUUAUUUUUGAGUUUUUAGUCUUUAUUUAUUGCCCUUUUCCUGAAAAAUUUAUAGAUCCACCACUGAUUGGACAUGACAAAAUAAUAAAAGAUGUAUUGCCUGACAAACAUCAAUAGUGAAUAACUCAUGUCACGAAUGGUUUAUUAUGGUGACAAACAUCAAUAGUCACGGCCAUUGGCGGAUCUACAGAGGCAUAAGGAGGUGCAGUGCACCUCCUUUCGCCAGAAAAAGCUUUGGAGGUGCCUGAAAAUGCCCAUCUGCUAAUGCCCAUAGCAGCUAUGGUUGUCAUGCAAUGUUAGCUCUAUGAGGCGCCGUCAAUGGCUUAUUCCUCUCGAAGAAGAAGACCCAACCCUGACUCAACUUUUGUUUUCCUCUAGGUUUUAAGUGAACGACAUCGGAUUGAGAUGGUGGGUUUUUUUUAAUGAAACGAUGUGUUUCGUGUAGUCUGGUUUCAUACAAUAAAGACACCACCAUUUGGUUUGUAAAAUCCCCUAUUUUACCAAAACUCUGCCUUAUAAUUUCAUUCCAUAUAAUCACUACCAUUUUCAUUCACCCAAUAGAAUCAUUGCAUUUAGCCUCUAUUUUAAUGUUUGGAACUAGGGCUCGUCAAUGGGCCGGGCUUUAAAGAGGAGAGAAAAAUAUCGGGCAGGGUGUUUUUAGAAAAUUCAAAGCCCAAGCCCAACCCAUGAGACGGGCUUGAAAAAGCCCAUCGGGCCGGGCCGAGCUAAGCCCAACGGGCCAUGCCUAAACGGGCCCUACUUCAUUAAAAAAAAAUCAUAAACUUAAUCAUAAGGGCAUUUUAGUCCAAAUUUGAGAUUAAACUCACUUAAUUUCAAUAUUUUCACAUCA
rnacentral:lncRNA from 1 species